ensembl:rRNA 5S_rRNA 5S ribosomal RNA
CCUGGGUGCCAUGGCAGCCUGAGGGCACCCUGGCCUGGAAGCUAAGCAGGAUCAGGUCUGCCUGUGCUUGGAUGGGGCACCGCCUGGGGAGACUGGGGGCCAGAG